rnacentral:rRNA from 1 species
UACGUAGGGUGCAAGCGUUGUCCGGAAUUAUUGGGCGUAAAGAGCUCGUAGGCGGUCUGUCGCGUCUGCUGUGAAAACUCAGGGCUUAACCCUGAGCUUGCAGUGGGUACGGGCAGACUAGAGUGCGGUAGGGGAGACUGGAAUUCCUGGUGUAGCGGUGAAAUGCGCAGAUAUCAGGAGGAACACCGGUGGCGAAGGCGGGUCUCUGGAACGCAACUGACGCUGAGACGCGAAAGCGUGGGGAGCAAACAGG